CCCCAACGGCUGCCAGCAGCCGACUCCCCCGAAGGCGAAAGGCCGCAGGUUCGACUCCUGCCUGGGGCA
rnacentral:tRNA from 1 species